rnacentral:rRNA from 1 species
UACAGAGGUCUCAAGCGUUGUUCGGAUUCAUUGGGCGUAAAGGGUGUGUAGGUGGCGCGCUAAGUCGGGUGUGAAAUUUCGGAGCUUAACUCCGAAACUGCAUUCGAUACUGGCGUGCUUGAGGACUGGAGAGGAGACUGGAAUUUACGGUGUAGCAGUGAAAUGCGUAGAUAUCGUAAGGAGGACCAGUGGCGAAGGCGGGUCUCUGGGCAGUAACUGACGCUGAGGAGCGAAAGCGUGGGGAGCGAACAGG